CUGGGGUGAGUGUGAGUGUGAGAGCGAGAACAGCUCGGCAGGUCCCGAGGCGCUGGCUGGGGACUCUGCUGCGGAAAGUUCCCAGUCCCCAGCCGCAGGUAGGAAAAAUGCAUAACAAAGCAAAUAUGAAGGACAGCAAAACUGGGAAGCUCUUUCCUUGAUGCCAGACACAAAAUGGAAAGUAACCCUUUCUUGGGAGCUACACCUAGAUUUCUCUUGUCACCCGAAACCACUGAUGGAAGUGAUGGAUGAAGGUUCUGAAAGGAGAAAUUGAGAUUUGAAAGUUUUGGACAAAUCUGUUAUCAAAACGACCACACGGACACAUGCAGUCACGAUGGAGAGGACUGCUCAGUACUCAGAGAUCCUGAAUGUUUAUACAUAAUUGAAGAACUUACACUUGUCUCCCUUGGGGAAAAGUGGAAUGAAGAGGACUACCAGGGUAACAUUGGAUGCCAUGGUGAAGAUGGCAGCUGUCUCCUGACCAAUUGGAGGAGGAUUGUUCUACUGACCUUUUUACUGUUGCAGGUUCUAUACUGUAAAGAUUGUGACUGGUUGACUCAGGCUCAAAAUAUAUUUGAACUUACGAAUUCUGGAUGAAUGGUACACUCUCAGGAAGGAUUGCAGGAUCAAGAAAGUGUGGCUUCUGGGGUUAGACAUUCUGGUUUUAAGGCUGUCUAUCCUAAUUGUUAACUCUGGGCUUUGAGAGAAUUACUUAACCACCAUAACAGUACCAGUUCUAGGCCCUGGCAAGAGGAAACCAUUCCCUGGUCUUUAGAAAAUCCUAUGCAUCAAAAUCGCACAAAAAAGCAUAAAUAUAUUAGAUAACACCUAUGUGUCUCUAAUUGUCAUGCUAGUAAAUGUUUUAAUAACAGGCUUUCAAAAAUACAUUUAUGUGUGUUAGUAUUUAUAUACACACAAAUAUGUAUACAUAUAUACUGUAUAUGUGUAUUAUAAAUUUUAUUUAUAUAAAAAUCUUGUGACAUACAACUUAAAAAUAACAAAAUAAUUAAUGCUAUUUAUUGUAAAUUCUGUAUGCCCAGUUACUUUUCACAGAAUGAUUUCAAUGAUUUUCACUUAACUUUGAUGUAAGUAGCAAACUUAAGAGUGUACCGACUAAAGAGUGUAGUCCAGACACGAAUGUUGGCUGAUGUUUUUAUUUACACUAAUAAAAAGGCAGGUGAAAUAAUACAGACAUGUAUUGGAACUUCACUUGUUCAUCACUUAUGUGAGCAAAUUCUUUACUGAAUCAGACUGUAAAUUCAGAAUGACAGAAUAAUAUUUUCUAAUUUUUUGUUCUAGUCUCAAGGUAACAGCUAGAGAGAGGAUACACUUUAAGUUUAAUGUGCAUUACUAACAUUUUUUCCAUCACUUUUAAAAUUCUAAACAAUUAACAAAAUAAUAAAUCAUGCCCUUUGUUUUUAGUAGUGUAAGUAUGCUCAACAUGGUUAAUUUCAAAUGUCCAGUGUAGGAGAAGAUGAGCUGUAACACACGGUUUUAUGCCCCAUUGUACAGGUAAGAUAAAUGUAAAUAACCUUAAGUGUAUUGAACAGUAAAAUGUAAUAAAAUAACAGGAAAUAUAUGAGUUUUAAAUAUUAGUUUACUUUUAAUAUAAUUUCUUUAAAUUUAAGUUUACACAAUUUAAUUACCAAAAAUAUAUAUCUAUUUAAAGAUUCACUUGCAAAUGUUCUGAAAAUUUAAUAGUUCUUCUGAGCCUAUGUGAACGUACUUUAGCCCAUCCCUCCCUGUUGCCAUAUUGCAAUCUGUAGCUAAACAUAC